rnacentral:rRNA from 1 species
AUGGGGCCUAAAUUUGCAAAUAUGCGUAGCCCAGGCGCCAUCAUGCAUUUUGCGCAACCAUCGCCCGAUGUGUACCUAGUAAAGACACGGAUGGGAGAGCGUUCUACAAGAGCUUCCUCAUCUCCAUUAUUGUCAUCUGCCAUAGCCACCACAAUGGAAAAGCUGCUCACCGUAGUGUGUGUUUCAAGCCUUCUUCUAGCCACUCUUGCGGACGAUGCCUCCUCCAGAUCUUCUCUUCAGCACCCCUCCCUGGACGGUCUACAAGGUCGUGUUCUAGGUCGCAAAGGCAGAGAAGAACCGGCACACCACCAUUACCGGCGUGAAGGCGAGCACGAGGAGCAGCAUGAGGUGGUGCCUAUGGGAGCGGAGAGUGGCGAAGAGAGGAAGAAGGGAAGUUGGAGGAACGAGGACGAGGAGGCGGUUGCGGCGGAAGGGCUGAUCUCCAGCGCGGACUACAGCGGCGUGGCCAUGCACGGCCACAGCUCCCCGCCGGCGCACAAAAAGCAUCCCAGGCCAUAG